rnacentral:rRNA from 1 species
GACGAACGCUGGCGGCGUGCUUAACACAUGCAAGUCGAACGGAAAGGCCCUGCUUUUGUGGGGUGCUCGAGUGGCGAACGGGUGAGUAACACGUGAGUAACCUGCCCUUGACUUUGGGAUAACUUCAGGAAACUGGGGCUAAUACCCGAUAGGAGCUCCUGCUGCAUGGUGGGGGUUGGAAAGUUUCGGCGGUUGGGGAUGGACUAGCGGCUUAUCCGCUUGUUGGUGGGGUUGUGGCUUACCAAGGCUUGGACGGGUAGCCGGCCUGGGAGGGUGACAGGCCACAGUGGGACUGAGAUGCGGCCCAGAGGCCUACGGGAGGAAGGAGCGGGAAUAUGGCACAAUGGGGGGAAGCCUGAUGCAGCAACGCCGCGUGCGGGAUGACGGACUUCGGGUUGUAAACCGCUUUCGCCUGUGACGAAGCGUGAGUGACGGUAAUGGGUAAAGAAGCACCGGCUAACUACGUG